AGCAAGGCCCUGUGCGUGGCCAGAGCCCUGAAUCGGUCACGCACGUGACUCCAAGCAUCUGCAUCUUCCAGGAAGUGAUCCUGUUAGCUCAGGAGGAGCUUUGCAAACCCGGGGGCAGUUCCAGCUGGAGAGUUCAGACUUGUUAGAGGUGGGAAGGGUGUGAAAGAGUUGGGUUGCAUCGAGCUUUAGAGCGGGACCAAAGGGCCGGAAAUAGGCCAGCCCUCCCUGCCCGCAGGCCCACCGCACGCCCAGCGCAGCCCGGGCCAGAAGGCGGCACCCAGAAUAUACGUCCCCUCGCCAGGAGCUGCUUCUCUCAAGAACAGACGAGCCCAGCAGACAACUCUUCCCAGAGCCGAGUGGCAGCACCGAGGCUGGUGACCUCCAGGCAGCACACAUCCUGGGCCUCUCCCUCCUACCUCUGUUCAGAAUGGUUCCCCCACCCAGAAGGCCCUCCCCUGCCCUGCCUUCUCUCUUGGCCCCGCAUCUUACUCACCCCCCAAGCCUCAGCUGGAGUUGGCUCAACACUACGAAUCAGCUGCCCCUUGGUCCUGACUGGUGGUCGGUGAGACCGGUGCUAGAGAAGGGAGUCCUGAGAUGACGAGAAAGAACACAGGCCUUGGCUUCCAGGAACUCCCUGUCUGCAGGUGGAGACAGGCAAGAGACCGCUGGGCACAGGGCCAGUGAUCAAUGCGCCCACAGAGGCCCGUGUGCUCUACAGGAGCCCCACUCCCACCCCACGGUCCUGGGUCACUUUCUUCUCACUUGUAAUUAUUUCAUCACUUUAUUGUCAGCAUCCCNGCUCCCUGGGCCUCUGCUGUCCUGGAGUCGGCCCCUCAAGUGACCGGAUCCUCCCCCCUCAGCAAUGGAGGAGGGUUGGGGGCUGAAACCACUCCAGACCCGCGGGCCACCUGCUCUGCCGCCUCAACUCUUUCAAUUCACUCAACAGAACUUGCCUAGCUUCACGGUGUGCCAGACGCAUGAGGAUGAAUGCCUGUUUAAAGCAAGGGGCCACGAACUUC
rnacentral:lncRNA from 1 species